UGUGGGUAAGGGUAGGUUGUGUUUGAAUAUUUGUAGAAAUAUGAGAGACAAUGUGUGGGGAAUUUUUUGUGCAAGAAGAAUGGUAUUCUAAGUAUGGGAUAUAGGAUUUAUAAAGUGGGUUACAUCGGUAAGUAAGGGGUCUUUAAAAGGAGAAGGAAGAGAAAACUUAGGCAAGGUAAGGAUCCGAGAAUCCACCUAUAUAUGGGUGUCACUAAUAGAAAUUAUAGGUCUUAUAGAUCCCC
rnacentral:lncRNA from 1 species